CGGGGUGUAGCGCAGCUGGGAGCGCGCUUGGUUCGGGACCAAGAGGCCGGAGGUUCAAGUCCUCUCACUCCGACCA
rnacentral:tRNA from 1 species